UACAGAGGGUGCGAGCGUUGUCCGGAAUCACUGGGCGUAAAGGGCGCGUAGGUGGUUGGGUAAGCGUGUGGUGAAAGCCCGGGGCUCAACCCCGGGUCGGCCAUGCGAACUGCCCGACUGGAGCACGGUAGAGGCCAAUGGAAUUCCGGGUGUAGCGGUGGAAUGCGUAGAGAUCCGGAAGAACACCGGUGGCGAAGGCGGUUGGCUGGGCCGAGGCUGACACUGAGGCGCGACAGCGUGGGGAGCAAACAGG
rnacentral:rRNA from 1 species